rnacentral:lncRNA from 1 species
UUUGUGGUGUACUCUUAUCACGUGGUUCGUCCCAGACAUAGACAUACCCCUUUGAAGUAGAGAAACCAUAGUUAUCCUCUCUAUUCUGCUACCAUCGCCCAUAUACUAGAAUCGCUCUAUUCUCUAUUCCCAUAUUAUCACUCACUGUUAUCUUACCUUUAAUAUUGUUCUUAUUCGAUUCUAUCAUCUUUCCUAUUUACACCUAUCUAUCUAUCUUGGUUAAGUUAGAGCGUAGUUGGUUCUCCCGUUUCCCUGU